rnacentral:rRNA from 1 species
AUUGAACGCUGGCGGCAUGCCUAACACAUGCAAGUCGAACGAGUGGCGGACGGGUGAGUAAUGUCUGUGAAACUGCGCGCUGUAGGGGGAUAACUACUGUAAACGGUAGCUAAUCCCGCAUACUUGCCGAUCUGUCCAGAUGGGAUGAGCUAGUAGGUGGGGUAAUGGGUCACCUAGGCGACGAUCCCUAGCUGGUCUGAGAGGAUGACCAGCCAUAAUGGAACUGAGACACGGUCCAGACUCCUACGGGAGGCAGCAGGGGGGAAUAUUGCACAAUGGGCGAAAGCCUGAUGCAGCCAUGCCGCGUGUAUGAAGAAGGCCUUCGGGUUGUAAAGGACUUUCAGCGAGGAGGCGUUACUCGCAGAAGAAGCACCGGCUAACUCCGUGCCAGCAGCCGCGGUAAUAC